CACAGACGGUGUGGGUCAGGGCGAGGCCUCGCCUCCGCUGCCCUGGGAGCCUGGCCCUUCUCGCCAGGGCUUGCUCCUUCAGCCUGGACUGGCAGGGACCGUCCCCGACAUCCCCUUGGGGGUUCAGCUGGGCAGACCUCGUCCGCCACCACCUGGCCACGAGCCAUGUGGCCACCCCGGGGCCUCCCCGGCCACCCCAGAGGGCAGCACAGAAGGAUGGACGUAGGAACAACGCCCGUCCUGGCCUCAGAGUCUCUGAGGACCUUAAAUGACCCUGCAGGUCUUCAAACACCAUAAAGUACCCAACAGUGAGGAAUCACAACGCCACUCGUCAGAGAAAUUGAGCAAAAAGGAAGGUUGGAGGGUCGAAAGGUUGGUGAGUGAUCCUGGCUCCAGGCCGAGCCUGGGUUCUCGGCCGCAAUCCCGAUGGACAGCGCGGCCUCACCAGGGAGGGCGGAUGCCAUGCUAAACCCACACCUGGCAAUGUCCCCUCAAGAAAUGGCUGCUGGGAGGGCCGGGUAGCUCAGCUGGGUAGAGGUUGUCCGGUUUCGCCAAGGCUGCGGGUUCGAUCCCCGGUCAGGGCACAAACAAGGGUCAACCAAUGAAUGCAUAAGUGGAACAACAAAUCAAUGUUUGUCUCCCCCUCUCUCUAAAAUUAAUUUUAAAAAAACGAAAAAAUCAACUUAUCAAUACAUCCGUCCAUCGAUACCCACCGCGUUGUAGAACUUCCUUUGGUUUGGAAAAGCAAACGAAACUGUGUUAACUCUCAAUGACAAAGUGCUAGGGGCAUCUUUUGUCCUGAUAUUUAGUUUCUGAGUCCAGGUCCUGACACAGCCCGGACCCCUUGGAAUUUCCUGAGCGACAGGAUGGGAGGGGUCCCCUGGAAGAUGAAGCCGUGCUCCGGGGAGAGGGGAGGACUGGGAUCGAGUUCAUCAGCUAGGCCUGUGUGCUGAAGCCUCCAUACAAUCCUUGGAACACAGGACCUGACCUGAGAGGCAGGCCGGGGAGCAGCGGUGCGGGGAGGAGGCAGCCUGCGAGCCCCACCCCUGCCCCGCGCAGCUGCCAUGCGGCUGGGCCUGCGCAGUGUCCUGUACGGUGACCCAGGGGUGAGCAAACGUUUUCCUGAGCUCUGUGAGCCAUUCGAGGAAAUUAUUGAACCCGUGGGUGUGGGAACGCCAGUUACAGCCAGUUGGUCAGAGUACAGGUGACAGCCUAGUGUGGGCAUCUGCAAGCGAAGGGGCCCUGGGCCCUGCGGGUCCUGCUGCAGCCCUGGGCGGGGACAGGAGGCAGCGUGGCUGCUGGGAGCAGGGAGGACCAGGGGGCCGAGGAGCGUUGCCACCCCAGCCAGCAGGCCCCGGCGGAGGCUUUCUGACUACUGAGGAGGCCCAAGUUCAAAGGCCUUGGCCGGCACCUUUCUUCUCCCAGGCCACCUCCCUCCUGGAUUCCCUGUGACCACGCCCUCACCUGCACCACUUUGCUCUGCUCAAAAGUCACCUCCUCCAGGAGGCCCACCCAGCCCCUUCUACCUGAAUGUCACACUGCAAGCUCCGCCCACCUCCUGCGCCUUCCGCCACCCUGUUCUGCAUCCUGCUAGCUCCGGCCUCCCCCAAGGGAGCAUGCACACAGCUAAGGGCCACCAGGAAGCUCGGACAGAGGCAUCUCAGAGUCUGUCACAGCUCUGCCAGCACCUGACCUUGGGUUUCUGGCCUCCAGAACGGAGAGCCAAGUCUCCUGUGGUCCCCAACAGUUUCCUGAAUGAAUAUAACGGGAAGCGAAGCAGACAACGCGGGCCCAGUGCUCCAUCAGCUCCACUUCUCCCGUUCAAAGCCACUCGGCCCCUUAGGACACCCUCAAAGCCCAGCCUCAGACACGGGCACCCACUGCAAGGACCCGCACAGCGAGCAGCCUCCGGGGUGUGCAGCACCGUCUGACGGCACAAGUCACUUGGCCUUGCCGAGCCUCAGUUUCUCCUGCUCCAAACGGGCUGAGCAGAGGGCAGUGGAAGAUUAAAUGAGAUGCUACUUGCAGAGCACAUAGGAUCACGCCUGGCCCAAGACAAGCUUGGUUAUUAUGGCUCCACCAAGAACCGUGCGGAUGAGCGGGCCGGGCGG